UCCCUGGUAGUAUAACGGUUAGUACUCGCGCCUAUUGUGCACAUAGUGUCGUCCAGUUCGUGCGAUAUCUGGGUUCGACUCCCAGCCAGGGAG